rnacentral:tRNA from 1 species
GCCUCGAUGGUGAAAUUGGUAGACACAGCGGACUUAAAAUCCGCCGCCCCCACCAGGGCGUACCGGUUCGAUUCCGGUUCGGGGCACCA